UGCGGGAUGGCGUAGUCAUGGAAGCGCGGCGGGCUCAUAACCCGCAGGCCCCGGGUUCGAAUCCCGGUCCCGCUCCCA
rnacentral:tRNA from 1 species